rnacentral:tRNA from 1 species
AUUCUAGUAGUUUAUCCAAAAACAUUGGUCUUGUAAACCAAAAACUGAAAAAAUUAUAUUUUUCCUAGAAUA